rnacentral:rRNA from 1 species
GAUGAACGCUGGCGGCGUGCUUGACACAUGCAAGUCGAGCGAGAUUAUUCUUCGGAAUAGUCUAGCGGCGGACGGGUGAGUAACACGUGGGCAACCUGCCUUGUAGAGGGGGAUAGCCUUCCGAAAGGAAGAUUAAUACCGCAUAAUGUUAUUGGAAGGCAUCUUUCGAUAAUCAAAGGAGCAAUCCGCUACAAGAUGGGCCCGCGGCGCAUUAGCUAGUUGGUGAGGUAACGGCUCACCAAGGCGACGAUGCGUAGCCGACCUGAGAGGGUGAUCGGCCACAUUGGGACUGAGACACGGCCCAGACUCCUACGGGAGGCAGCAGUGGGGAAUAUUGCACAAUGGGGGAAACCCUGAUGCAGCAACGCCGCGUGAGUGAUGACGGCCUUCGGGUUGUAAAGCUCUGUCUUUGGGGACGAUAAUGACGGUACCCAAGGAGGAAGUCACGGCUAACUACGUGCCAGCAGCCGCGGUAA